UACAGAGGUCCCAAGCGUUGUUCGGAUUCACUGGGCGUAAGGGGUGCGUAGGCGGCGGGUAAGUCUGAUGUGAAAUCUCACAGCUUAACUGUGAAACUGCAUUGGAUACUAUUCGGCUUGAGAGUUGGAGGGGGGACUGGGAAUUCUUGGUGUAGCAGUGAAAUGCGUAGAUAUCAAGAGGAACACCAGUGGCGAAGGCGAGUCCCUGGACAACUUCUGACGCUGAGGCACGAAAGCUAGGGGAGCAAACAGG
rnacentral:rRNA from 1 species